GGCCGUGUGGCCCAAUGGCAAGGCGCUUGACUACGACUUUGAUCUGUAAUCAAGAGAUUCCAGGUUCGACCCCUGGCACGGUCA
rfam:Paraphaeosphaeria sporulosa strain AP3s5-JAC2a unplaced genomic scaffold CC84scaffold_8, whole genome shotgun sequence.